rnacentral:rRNA from 1 species
CCUACGGGAGGCUGCAGUGUGGAAUAUUGGACAAUGGGGGGAACCCUGAUCCAGCCAUGCCGCGUGUGUGAAGAAGGCCCUCGGGUUGUAAAGCACUUUCAGUGAGGAAGAACGCCUGGUGGUUAAUACCCAUCAGGAAAGACAUCACUCACAGAAGAAGCACCGGCUAACUCCGUGCCAGCAGCCGCGGUAAUACGGAGGGUGCGAGCGUUAAUCGGAAUUACUGGGCGUAAAGCGCGCGUAGGUGGCUUGAUAAGCCGGUUGUGAAAGCCCCGGGCUCAACCUGGGAACGGCAUCCGGAACUGUCAAGCUAGAGUGCAGGAGAGGAAGGUAGAAUUCCCGGUGUAGCGGUGAAAUGCGUAGAGAUCGGGAGGAAUACCAGUGGCGAAGGCGGCCUUCUGGACUGACACUGACACUGAGGUGCGAAAGCGUGGGUAGCAAACAGGAUUAGAUACCCGAGUAGUC